rnacentral:rRNA from 1 species
GUGCCAGCCGCCGCGGUAAUACGGAGGGGGCUAGCGUUGUUCGGAAUUACUGGGCGUAAAGCGCACGUAGGCGGAUCAGAAAGUUGAGGGUGAAAUCCCAGGGGCUCAACCUCGGAACUGCCUUCAAAACUAUUGGUCUUGAGUUCGAGAGAGGUGAGUGGAAUUCUCGAGUGUAGAGGUGAAAUUCGUAGAUAUUCGUGAGGAACACCAGUGGCGAAGGCGGCUCACUGGCUCGGUACUGACGCUGAGGUGCGAAAGCGUGGGGAGCAAACAGG